rnacentral:rRNA from 1 species
GAUGAACGCUGGCGGCGUGCCUAAUACAUGCAAGUCGAGCGAACAGACGAGGAGCUUGCUCCUCUUACGUUAGCGGCGGACGGGUGAGUAACACGUGGAUAACCUACCUAUAAGACUGGGAUAACUUCGUGAAACCGGAUCUAAUACCGGAUAAUAUAUUGAACCGCAUUGUUCAAUAGUUAAAGACGGUUUUUCUUUCACUUAUAGAUUGAUCCGCUCCGCUUUAUCUAGUUGGUAAGGUAACGGCUUACCAAGGCAACGAUGCGUAUCCGACCUGAGAGGGGGAACGGACACACUGGAACUGAGACACGGACCAGAAGCCUACGGGAGGAAGCAGUAGGGAAUAUACCGCAAUGGGCGAAAGCAUGACGGAGCAAAGCCGAGUGAGUGAUGAAGGUCUUCGGAUCGUAAAACUCUGUUAUUAGGGAAGAAAAAAUGUGUAAGUAACUAUGCACGUCUUGACGGUAACUAAUCAGAAAGCAACGGCUAACUACGUG